AGUACAUGCGGCUUGACGUCAGCCGUGUAAGUUGACAUGGGAUGACAAAUCAUUGUCUGAAGCUAGUGGUUAAGAAAAUGGAGAUGCCGUCGCUUGCUAGAAACUUAUGUCGAUCUAACUUAAUAGUAGGUCGUUAUCAUUUCACUUAACGUUAGCAAAGUACGUAGAUUCAUGUCACUUUAUCAGCAAAUACUUAAAAAAUAAAUUCUAAUCUUCGCUCAGCGUCAUUAUCCAUCGUAAAUGUUGUGCUAAACCUAUAAAUACGUUCCGAGCAACGAUAUGCAUACACUUACUAUUGAUCAUAUACGGCCCACUUCAGGACACAGAAGUGACCUACACAUUUUUCUAUUCAACCAUGCCCAUUCUCAUUUUCGCCGUUCAACCUUAUCUUCGAUUGGCAAAGUUCCUAAUAACGCUGGCGACCACCUGAAAUCCACUUUUCUGCAUUUAUCUUCCCUAGAGUCUAUCUCAUUCGAUAUAGCGCAAAGACGUCACGGCGACAGUGAGACGCGCGUACGUCUUCAUGCGAACGAACGAACGAACAAAAUUGAGGUGGGGAAUCGAAAUGUACUGAAUCUCGAUUCGGCUGCAAAUGACGAUAUUCAGUUUUUUUAUUUCGGUUCCUUUCUUUCGUUGCGGUAUUUUUCUUGGCGGCGCCAUUGCCGUUCACUGUCUUUUCUCUCACAGCAUUCGUCAUUUGUCGCUACUGAAUAUUCGUAUUGGCGUAAUGUUGUAGUCGUGAUUUCAACGCCGGUUGUGAACUUGGCUUUUCAGUUCAUGCCGUUAUGGCUUCCACGGUGGCUGUUAUUGUUGUUAGUAAAGGUGAUCGUGGUUAUGGUGACAACAGCGCUAUCGACGAUAACAAUGGCGACGGAAGGAAGGCGGAGAGGCCAGCUGAUCAUUUUUGACAUAAACAUUUCCCGUUGUUAUUGCAGCGGUCACUUGCGUAUGAGAUUUCGCCGUUGCCUCUAUCGCAUAGCUCAUGUAGGGCCGCCGUUGCUGAGAGGGCAGCGGGCGUCGGCUACUGUGGAUUACGGUCCGCCAUCUCAUCCGUAAUGCAGUAGGCUUGCGACCCAACUCUAUCUAUAUGCUGUCUUUAUCACCUACCUUUCAGGUGAAGCUAACGGCGGCGUCGUCACGUCUCCGUUAGCCAUGGCGCCACAGUAGACGUGUUUGUUGUUAUGUAUGCGCAUUCAACAGUGAAACGCUGUGAACUCUCUUCGUCCCAGCCCAUUUGAGGUGCUCAGAUAUCUGUUCCUAUGUGCUUGUGCCUGUUCGGUAUGUGUGUGCGCUGUGUCAUUGAGUCAUGUGCGUCUCAGCGGCAUAACAAAAAGCCAGUAAACAGUGACAUCUCCCUUUUCGCAAGCUGUAUCUUCUUCCACGACACGCCUGUCUACCUUCGUAUCAUUAUAACUGCUACCACUACUAUAGCUACGAUGGCGGCAUUAAAGAGCAGACGAAAUAUGACUUUUUCGUCGAAAGAGGAAUAUUUUGUAUGUUGGCACUGGCAUCGAUGUUGACGCUUCUGCCGUUGCUGACGACGCUAAUAAUAUGGAUCUGCUAGCGUUCUCUGCAGUGGGCGUUCAGCGUCUAUUCAACCGUUCGUCUAUUGAACGUUCCGGCGUGCUAGUAAAUAGUAGCUCCGAGAUAGUGACGCCGCUGCUAAGGAAACGAGAGCCGCGCAUCGACAUCGAUCACUGUCGCCCAUUCUAAUGAUAAUAAUAAAACCAAUAACGAAACUAGUAGAGUUUAGUAAGCUUAUUUUGGCGUCAGGAAAUGUAUAUGAAUCUAAUCGUGCUUCAUUUGAAAUAUACAGGAAACAACAAGGUAUAAAUCUAGCCUCACGGUCGCCCAUCAAUUAAAGCAAAACUUAGCUCCCCCUAAUGAUGUAAUCACUACUACUACUACUACUACUACUACUACUACUACUACUACUACUACUACUACUACUACUACUAUAAUGACUUUUUUGCUCAUGUAACAUAAUAGAUAUGUAGGCAUGGAGCAAGCUGUACAUCUAACGCACUCAUCAUAAUUAUCCACUAUUAUAUCCAUGGCAAACUUGAUUGAACUUUGGAAGAGCGGAGUGUCAUCUUUCAACUGGUUAACUCUCAUAGGCACAAACUGUAUAACGAGACACUAAGUUAUCUAGGACAAACACAACAUGUUUUGCAUCCGAUGAAAUCGGGGUCAGCUUCAAGAAUAACUAGGUGCAAAAAAUAUUGCAACGAAUAAUGCCAGCGCCACAACGGUCAUCAUUCGUUCUUAAUAGGACACGUUUGCGCAUGCAAAGCAACACCAUAUAUCAGGCAUCGGUAAAUGCCGGAAAUCGAAAAUAAGCGGUGGCCCGUCACCCGAAGUGGGAAAGAAAGAUUCGAUGCUAACAGGCUUAUGGAUCAAGCGUAGUCGUCAAAGUCGUUGUAAAGUCUUUCUGUCUAAAUAGAUACGAAUCGUUGUCAAACAGCUCAACGUGUCUUAUAUAAUUUAUCGAGCUGCGUAACCUCUU
rnacentral:lncRNA from 1 species